UUUAAUUUUAUAAACACUGCUCUUUAAAGUGUCUUCAGUAUUGUGACAGUAAUGCAAUGAUUUCAUUGGGGGAAGAACUUCUUUCUGGUUGUAACUGUGUAAACUUUAAAAGCAGAACCAAAUCUUUGCAAGAUACAGCUACUGGAGUUGACUCUUUUAAGAGUAAAGCAUUUUCUUAAUUAUAGUUCAGUAUUGGGAAGCAGUAGUUGUUUUCUUAAAACAUACUUAAAUAAAUUUGAAAAAGGUAAAUGAAAGGACCGUAAGGUUUGUCACUGUGAACAGGCUGGUUAUAUAUAGUGAUGGGCAUUUUGCUCAGAGGAGAGAAUCAGCAGAAUAAAAUAUCUAGAGCAUACAUCAAAUGCAUUUUCCAUAAUGAUUUUUCACAGAAAUAAGCCUGAAGUUCUCAUCUCGCAGUGUCAGGGGAUUAGAACUGUGAUUUUUUUUUUUUUUGCAGAGAGGUGGUGUGGUUAUUAAGCUUGGCUCUAGGUAGGGGUAUCCCCAAAUUUUAGGGUGACUAAAUUUAGGAUUAUGCAUUGAGCUCACUGUAAACAUUUCAGCUCAAUAGAUUGCGUAGAUAAAUGCAGUCAAAGGAAAGGCAGUAUUUGAUGAGAAAUUUUUUAGGAGAAAAAGCCUAGAAAGCUAUUGAUCCAAUAUUUUAUUUAUUUUAGAGGAAUGAGCAAAUUCAUAAAUCAGUUUUCUUUUAUUGACUCAUCAUUUAGCACUUUGAAGAUUUGACCUACAAACUGAAUAAAAGACCAGUUGUUAUUCACUGUAGGGAAAUUAAUUAUUUUGUAGAAGUGAUAGUAAAAAGUGCUCCUGUGGAAUGUAUAACCUAUAUUGUAAAUUAAUGCUGCCUUUCUCACAUAGCCAUGAACUAAUUUCAGAAAGAACAGGAAUGCUUAUAGGCAUGUUAAUUUUUUGUUCAUCUCUUUGGGUUUUUUUACUAAAAACUGAAUGCAGGAAGAAAUGCUGUUGGAUAGUUAGCUAACUUCUGCUGUCUUACAAAUUGCAUAUAUA